UUUGUGGGCGGGCGGGGUGGCUCCCGUUCCCUUCAGGUGUGUGUGUGGGGGCGGCUCCUCCUCCCCUAGCUAUGAGCCAGGUCUGCAAACAGCAAGCCAAGCUCUUAAAUCAAGUGAUUUUGCACUUCUGAGGUUUUUUAAGAGCACAGAAGCUGAGCCCCAUAAAUAAUGCAGCAGAUAUCAGAAAGAAGCUCGAGGUGUGGAAGACGUAGAGGAAAUCACCGGUUAUGUCUACCAGGAGACCUGAAAUAGAAGCCAAAGAGAAGAUGCACACUAAAGGCAUAAAUUGACACGAAUGUUAAACCUAAAUAAUUCAGUAAAUUGCCAUACACAAAAGAUAAGCAUUCUCUGAUGGGUUAAGUUCUCUUCUCUAAAUUCUAGGGGUUGGUUGGUUUGGGGUUUUUUUUGUAGUCACCACUCAGGUGAUGUUUCUGCUUCUGUUGAAAGUAUUUCUCAAUACACACAGAAAUCAGAAAAGAAAAGAAAUUGUAAUUUUCCCCCAAAACUGCUGAUUCAUUUAGUUUACCCACUGCCACUGUGCCAGCUUUUUCCUUGCAAAGGUUCUCUCACCUGUGAGUGGGGGCCCGAUGAGGAGAGUGAUGCUCUCCACAAUGGUGAAGAGCCCUAGAGCACUGGAGAACCUGUCCAUCUCCACCACAUCCAUCAGCACCUGGAAGGUGAGUGACC